rnacentral:rRNA from 1 species
UACGGAGGGUGCAAGCGUUGUCCGGAUUCAUUGGGUUUAAAGGGUGCGCAGGCGGGACAUUAAGUCAGGGGUGAAAGACGGUUGCUCAACAAUCGCAGUGCCUUUGAUACUGGUGUUCUUGGGUGACCUUGAGGUAGGCGGAAUGGGUGGUGUAGCGGUGAAAUGCAUAGAUACCACCCAGAACUCCGAUUGCGAAGGCAGCCUACUGGAGGUUUACCGACGCGUCGAGGCACGAAAGCGUGGGAUCAAACAGG